UACGAAGGGUGCUAGCGUUGCUCGGAAUGACUGGGCGUAAAGGGCGCGUAGGCGGUUUGUACAGUCAGGUGUGAAAUUCCCGGGCUCAACCUGGGGGCUGCACUUGAUACGUAUGGACUGGAGUGGGGAAGAGGGUCGUGGAAUUCCCAGUGUAGAGGUGAAAUUCGUAGAUAUUGGGAAGAACACCGGUGGCGAAGGCGGCGACCUGGUCCUUGACUGACGCUGAGGCGCGAAAGCGUGGGGAGCAAACAGG
rnacentral:rRNA from 1 species